GCCGGGGUAGCCUAGCCUGGUAAGGCGCACGCCUGGAGAGCGUGUGGCCCUUUGGGCCGCAGGGGUUCAAAUCCCCUCCCCGGCG
rnacentral:tRNA from 1 species